GAUGAAGAACGUAGCUAAAUGCGAUAAGUAGUGUGAAUUGCAGAAUUCAGUGAAUCAUCGAAUCUUUGAACGCACAUUGCGGCCAUAGGUAUUCCUUUGGCCAUGCCUGUUCGAGCGUCAUUUACACCCUCAAGCCUAGCUUGGUGUUGGGCGUCUGUCCCGCCGUUUUCGCGCGCGGACUCGCCUCAAAGUCAUUGGCGGCGGUCGUGCCGGCCCCCUCGCGCAGCACAUUUGCGCUUCUCGGAGGCCCGGCGGAUCCGCGCUCCAGCAAGACCUUUCACGACUUGACCUCGGAUCAGGUAGGGAUACCCGCUGAACUUAAGCAUAUCAAUAAGCGGAGGA
rnacentral:misc_RNA from 1 species